rnacentral:rRNA from 1 species
AUCGCCGAAAGAUCGGCCCGCGUCUGAUUAGCUAGUUGGUGAGGUAAUGGCUCACCAAGGCGACGAUCAGUAGCUGGUCUGAGAGGAUGAUCAGCCACAUUGGGACUGAGACACGGCCCAAACUCCUACGGGAGGCAGCAGUGGGGAAUAUUGGACAAUGGGCGCAAGCCUGAUCCAGCCAUGCCGCGUGAGUGAUGAAGGCCCUAGGGUUGUAAAGCUCUUUUGUGCGGGAAGAUAAUGACGGUACCGCAAGAAUAAGCCCCGGCUAACUUCGUGCCAG